UACGUAGGGACCAAGCGUUGUUCGGAUUUACUGGGCGUAAAGGGCGCGUAGGCGGCAAUUCAAGUCAUCUGUGAAAUCUCCGGGCUUAACUCGGAACGGUCAGAUGAUACUGCUUUGCUAGAGUGCGGAAGGGGCAAUCGGAAUUCUUGGUGUAGCGGUGAAAUGCGUAGAUAUCAGGAGGAACACCGGUGGCGAAGGCGGCUACCUGGACAAUUGCUGACGCUCAGGCACGAAAGCGUGGGGAGCAAAAGGG
rnacentral:rRNA from 1 species